rnacentral:rRNA from 1 species
AACGAACGCUGGCGGCGUGCCUAACACAUGCAAGUCGAACGGAAUGAGGGGGCUUGCUCCUUCAUUUAGUGGCGCACGGGUGAGUAACGCGUAGAUAAUCUGCCUGAUGAUCUGGGAUAACAUCUCGAAAGGGGUGCUAAUACCGGAUAAGCCCACGGGGACUUUGGUCUUUGCGGGAAAAGGGGGGGACCUUUUGGCCUUCUGUCAUCAGAUGAGUCUGCGUACCAUUAGCUAGUUGGUAGGGUAAAGGCCUACCAAGGCUACGAUGGUUAGCUGGUUUGAGAGAAUGAUCAGCCACACUGGAACGGAGACACGGUCCAGACUCAUACGGGAGGCAGCAGUGGGGAAUUUUGCGCAAUGGGCGAAAGCCUGAAGCAGCAACGCCGCGUGAGUGAUGAAGGCUUUCGGGUCGUAAAGCUCUGUCAGGGGGAAAGAAGUGUAUUGUGGCUAAUAUCCACGAUACUUGACGGUACCCCCAAAGGAAGCACCGGCUAACUCCGUGCCAGCAGCCGCCGUAACAC